UACGAAGGGGGCUAGCGUUGUUCGGAUUUACUGGGCGUAAAGCGCACGUAGGCGGGUCGUUAAGUCAGGGGUGAAAUCCCGGAGCUCAACUCCGGAACUGCCUUUGAUACUGGCGACCUUGAGGCCGGAAGAGGUUAGUGGAAUUCCCAGUGUAGAGGUGAAAUUCGUAGAUAUUGGGAAGAACACCAGUGGCGAAGGCGGCUAACUGGUCCGGAUCUGACGCUGAGGUGCGAAAGCGUGGGGAGCAAACCGG
rnacentral:rRNA from 1 species